GCCUUUUUUUUUUUUAAGUUUGUAUUUAUUUUYUAACCAGAAAACCCCAAGUCACUAGGGGCAUAAAACCAGUGUUCAGCCAAAAAAAGGAAAAGUUUCCAUUUUCUGUCCCAGAAGAACAUAAUACAUGUGCUUGAAAAAGUGGAAUUCUUUCUGAAAAUGUUUUACUGGUUUUGGCCAAAGAGGCUUCAUUUUUUMCCCUCGUUCAGUGAAAAGUUUAAAUUUCCAGUGGAAAUAAACUUCUCAGGUGGCUUUAAUAUUUAGCUCAUUUACAAUAUGUUCAGGGGAAAAAAGGGAGGAAAGUUUGUUCUUUGAGUUGAUCCACCAGCAUGUCAUACAGAAGUUUGCAGGUUUUUCUUUUUUUUUUCCUCCACCCCUUCCCCAGGGAAGUCGGUGUUUGCAUGUGCCUUGCAUGAUUGCACUUCGUCAUUAAACGGAAUUAAGUUAAUGCCUACAAAGGGUCUGAACUGCUAAAGGUCGGGCCUUUACUUAAUCAGGUCACCCAGUGCUGAAGGAUUAAGAGAAACAUAGGACUUACUCCAGGCCUUGUAGAUAAGCAAGGCUCCUUGUUUAUACCAUCAUUUUGCAACAAGAGAUGGAACUGUUGCGUAGUCCCACCAGAUCGGAUUUUGGAGGCACCUUUUUCUCCACGGCAUCUGAACCCUGUUUCAUCUCAGUUUCUUUGCCAAAAGGAAGGAAAGUCUACAAGAGGCCAUGAAAUCCUGUUGGGUGAGUUUCCAGGAGCUCGAGGUUUGACACUCUUGUCUACACAGAGCUUUGCUCACUGGUUUUGCUUUGCACUUUCAUUUGGACUUGGCUCACCUAAAAGCAGUUUUGAUUUAUUUCAGUGCUGUUUAUCCAUCUUGGUGCUUUUUUUUUUUCCUAAGGUAACUACGUGAAAGUAGUUACCGUGGAGUUAGUCUUAAUGCGGGCAGACCAGGAAGCUCCGAACCCCACCUUCCAUCAACCUGAUCUUUCAAAUAACAAUGUUAUUGCUGACCUGGAGAGGACCUGUGCUGAGAACCUGCAUCCCUUGCUCUGUUAGAGACACUGUAUGUGUAGGAGAUGCCAAACAUCACAUUUGAUUGGGGGAAGCUGAAGUCGUUCAAGACCAAAUUAACGUGCUAUGCAAUUAUUUGAAAUUUAAAAAACAAACAAAAAAUAGUUGGGGAGCUCUGUUCAUUUUGAUUUAGCCACAGAAUAUUUUUACUAAAACGCCUUCUAAUUCUUGCCUCUUUUUUUUCUUUUCUAUCAUUGGCCCCAGUGCAUUUAAUAUUAACAGCAGUUGAGAAGGGUUGAAAGAGAUUGUUUGAACCAGUCAAGUGCCUUGAAGUUAGUAUUUAUUAAAAAACACAAAACCCUAAAACUCCCCAAACCUCCUGUUAGAACAUGACCUGUAGACACCUCAUUAACUAAGGUGGCUUUGUAGUCAACACCGAGCU
rnacentral:lncRNA from 1 species